rnacentral:tRNA from 1 species
GACUUUUUAUUUUGGAAAUAAAUGAUUUUGAAAGUCAUAAAAAGACGUUCGAAUCGUCUAAAAGUCU